rnacentral:rRNA from 1 species
GACGUAGGGCGCGAGCGUUGUCCGGAUUUAUUGGGCGUAAAGAGCUCGUAGGCGGCUUGUUGCGUCGACCGUGAAAACCCGGGGCUCAACUUCGGGCUUGCGGUCGAUACGGGCAGGCUAGAGUUCGGUAGGGGAGACUGGAAUUCCUGGUGUAGCGGUGAAAUGCGCAGAUAUCAGUGAGGAACACCGGUGGCGAAGGCGGGUCUCUGGGCCGAUACUGACGCUGAGGAGCGAAAGCGUGGGGAGCGAACAGG